GAAGGUGAUGAAAUAUACACAGAAAACGUAGUAAACGUCGUAAAAUCAAUCAGUUAAAUUAACAAAGAGCAGAUAGUCACAGUUCACAUUUACAACUCCUCCGUUCGAUCAACAAAAAAUAAGCAGCUUAACAAAUAGAAUUCAAGUGCGCAAAUAAGGAUAACAAAAUGGUGGAUACAGCUCAAAACUUAAACGAUCGUUUUCAACGAUUCGUCAAUGGUAUCGGCGACCGAUAUGAGCCGUACAUACGCCAGCACCUGUCCAAAGUGUACAUGGUGCUGGCAAGCACAACCGCUGCUGCGGCAGGCGGUGCCCUACUUCAAAUGAAGAAUUACAUUGAUCUUGGGAUGCUGGCGGCAAUUGCAUCCUUGGUGCUGGUCCUAGGUCUGCAUUUCUAUAGAGAUGAUGGCAAAAAUUAUUACACACGCUUGGGAAUGCUGUACGCUUUUGGCUUUUGCUCGGGUCAAACGCUUGGUCCUCUUUUGGGAUACAUUGUUAGCAUUAAUCCGGCUAUUAUUUUGACUGCACUCACCGGAACAUUCGUGACCUUUGCAUCGCUAUCAUUGGCCGCUCUUUUGGCUGAGCAGGGCAAAUAUUUGUAUCUGGGUGGCAUGCUGGUCAGCGUCAUCAAUUGCAUGGCGUUGCUGAGUCUCUUCAACAUGAUAUUUAAGUCAUACUUUGUACAGAUUACUCAAUUGUAUGUUGGCGUUUUUGUCAUGGCCGCGUUUAUUGUAUACGACACCCAGAACAUUGUGGAGAAAUGUCGUUUGGGCAACCGCGACGUGGUUCAACAUGCAUUGGAUCUCUUCUUCGACGUUCUCAGCAUGUUCCGCCGAUUGUUAAUUAUUCUAACACAAAAGCUCAAGAGUUUUAUGGUUUAAUAUUAGCUCUGAAAGAACAGUUGUCACAAUCGAAGCAAUCAAUGAAUAAUAACCUUGAACGGCCUUGAACUAUUUAGCAAACAAUUAACUUAGCUUAAGCAUUUUGCCAUCAAGUCAACGGAGGAGCAAAAACAAGCCGAUCGUCGCAAGAGGAAGUAAAAUGAUGGAUGGAUUUUGUGACAUAUUUGUUUAGGUUUAAAUUUGGAAAUUUGAAACACAAAAAGCCCUGGUUAAAUUUUGGAUUAAAAUUACAUCACACAAGAAAUAUAAAAAUUCAUAUUUGAAUUAAGCAUUCAAGCUUGCAAAUCAAAUGUUUAACAUCCAAUAAAUUUCCUCCCAACAAUCUUA